rnacentral:rRNA from 1 species
CCUACGGGCGGCUGCAGUAGGGAAUAUUGGUCAAUGGGGGAAACCCUGAAGCAGCAACGCCGCGUGGAGGAUGAAGGUUUUCGGAUUGUAAACUCCUUUUGUUAGAGAAGAAAAUGACGGUAUCUAACGAAUAAGCACCGGCUAACUCCGUGCCAGCAGCCGCGGUAAUACGGAGGGUGCAAGCGUUACUCGGAAUCACUGGGGGUAAAGAGCGCGUAGGCGGGAUAGCAAGUCAGAUGUGAAAUCCUAUGGGUUAACCAUAGAACUGCCGUUGAAACUGUUAUUCUAGAGUAUGGGAGAGGUAGGUGGAAUUCUUGGUGUAGGGGUAAAAUCCGUAGAGAUCAAGAGGAAUACUCAUUGCGAAGGCGACCUGCUAGAACAUAACUGACGCUGAUGCGCGAAAGCGUGGGGAGCAAACAGGAUUAGAUACCCGUGUAGUC